rfam:Salmo salar isolate Sally breed double haploid chromosome ssa13, whole genome shotgun sequence.
AGCCACACCUGUGUUCUAUGGCUUUCUAUUCCUAUGUGAUUUCUCUCUGGUAUGUCAUGUAGGGUUUAAAGCCAUUGGGUACAGAGUGGAAA